rnacentral:rRNA from 1 species
CCCUUAGAUGUUCUGGGCCGCACGCGCGCUACACUGACUGACUCAACGAGUUUACAACCUGUGCCGAAAGGUAUGGGUAAUCUUUGAAACUGCAUCGUGAUGGGGCUAGAUUAUUGCGAUUAUUAAUCUUCAACGAGGAAUGCCUAGUAAGCGUGAUUCAUCAAAUCGCGUUGAUUACGUCCCUGCCCUUUGUACACACCGCCCGUCGCUCCUACCGAUUGAAUGUGUUGGUGAGGAGUUCGGAUUGGCAAUAGGAGGUGGUUUACCACUGCCUAUAGCUGAGAAGUUCUCCAAACCGCCCCAUUUAGAGGAAGGAGAAGUCGUANCA